rnacentral:misc_RNA from 1 species
AAGUUUUUGAACGCAAGUUGCGCCCGAAGCCUUUUGGCCAAGGGCACGUCUGCCUGGGCGUCACACAUCGUAUCCCCCCAGCAACACCUCUUUAUGGGGAUGUUUGAAUGGGGGCGGAGAUUGGUCUCCCGUUCCUCAGGUGCGGCUGGCUAAAAUAGGAGUCCCCUUCGACGGACGCACGACUAGUGGUGGUUGACAAGACCCUCUUAUCGAGUCGUGCGUUUUAAAGAGUAAGGAAGAUCUCUUCAAUGACCCUAAUGUGUCGUCUCUUGACGAUGCUUCGACUGCGACCCCAGGUCAGGCGGGACUACCCGCUGAGUUUAA